rnacentral:rRNA from 1 species
GAUGAACGCUAGCGGCAGGCCUAACACAUGCAAGUCGAGGGAGAAGCCCUUUCGGGGGCAGAAACCGGCGCACGGGUGCGUAACGCGUAUGCAACCUACCUUUCACAGGGGGAUAGCCCGAAGAAAUUUGGAUUAAUACCCCAUAAUAUUAUUGGAUGGCAUCAUUUGAUAAUUAAAACUGCGGUGGUGAAAGAUGGGCAUGCGUCCUAUUAGCUAGUUGGAGUGGUAACGGCACCCCAAGGCUACGAUAGGUAGGGGUCCUGAGAGGGAGAUCCCCCACCACGGUAACGAGACCGGGACCAGACUCCUAAGGGAGGCAGCAGUGAGGAAUAUUGGUCAAUGGUCGGAAGACUGAAACAGCCAUGCCGGGUGCAGGAAGAAUGCCUUAUGGGUUGUAAACUGCUUUUAUAUGGGAAGAAUAAGGCGUACGUGUACGUUGAUGACGGUACCAUAUGAAUAAGCAUCGGCUAACUCCGUG